rnacentral:pre_miRNA from 1 species
CAUAUACUCUCUCAGUUCAGAAUGACUUGUCGCAGAAAUGGAUGUAUCUAGACGUAUUUUAGUUCCAGAUAUAUUCAUUUCCGAGACAAGUAAUUCCGAACGGAGGGAGUAAUAU